rnacentral:rRNA from 1 species
AUUGAACGCUGGCGGCAGGCCUAACACAUGCAAGUCGAACGAGUGGCGGACGGGUGAGUAAUGUCUGGGAAACUGCCCGAUGGAGGGGGAUAACUACUGGAAACGGUAGCUAAUACCGCAUACCAUCGGAUGUGCCCAGAUGGGAUUAGCUAGUAGGUGGGGUAACGGCUCACCUAGGCUACGCUCCCUAGCUGGUCUGAGAGGAUGACCGGCCACACUGGAACUGGGAAACGCUCCAGAUCCCUACGGGAGGCGGCAGUGGGGAAUAUUGCAAAAUGGGCGAAAGCCUGAUGCAGCAAUGCCGCGUGGAUGAAGAAGGCCUUCGUGUUGUAAAGUACUUUCAGCGGGGAGGCGUUACUCGAAGAAGAAGCACCGGCUAACUCCGUGCCAGCAGCCGCGGUAAUUC